UACGGAGGGUGCGAGCGUUGUCCGGAAUCACUGGGCGUAAAGGGCGCGUAGGUGGCCCGUUAAGUGGCUGGUGAAAUCCCGCGGCUCAACUGCGGGGCUGCCGGUCAUACUGGCGAGCUAGAGCACGGUAGGGGCAGAUGGAAUUCCCGGUGUAGCGGUGGAAUGCGUAGAGAUCGGGAAGAAUGCCAGUGGCGAAGGCGUUCUGCUGGGCCGUUGCUGACACUGAGGCGCGACAGCGUGGGGAGCAAACAGG
rnacentral:rRNA from 1 species